CACGUAGUUAGCCGGGGCUUCUUAGUCAGGUACCGUCAUUUUUUUCUUCCCUGCUGAUAGAGCUUUACAUACCGAAAUACUUCUUCACUCACGCGGCGUCGCUGGAUCAGGGUUUCCCCCAUUGUCCAAUAUUCCCCACUGCUGCCUCCCGUAGGAGUUUGGGCCGUGUCUCAGUCCCAAUGUGGCCGUCCGCCCUCUCAGGCCGGCUACUGAUCGUCGCCUUGGUGGGCCGUUACCCCACCAACCAGCUAAUCAGACGCGGGUCCAUCAUAUACCACCGUAGUUUUCACACUGUCUCAUGCAAUACUGUGCGCUUAUGCGGUAUAGCACUAUUCUAAGUGUUAUCCCCCUGUAUAUGGCAGGUUACCCACGCCGUUACUCCACCCGUCCGCCACUAAGUCAUCAACAUUCCACUCUUAGCAAGCUAAUGCUUACAAAAAUGAUGACUCCGUCACUUGCUAUGUAGUUAAGC
rnacentral:rRNA from 1 species